GCAAAGCAGGGAAGCGCAGGAAGCACGGGAAUGAAGUUGCUUUUGAUCGAGUUAAGAGCUUGCUAGCUAUGAAAAAUAUGUAUUCCAAACAAAAGAUUCUUGAUCGUCUCCUCGCCAAAAAUGAGGAGACACUUUCUUCUCAAGAGAAGGAACUUAAGACUAAACUAAUUGGUGAAAUGCUUUGAUUUGGUAAGUGUGUUUAACUUGGCUGAAUUUUUAAGUAAAGCUUGAACUUGAUUCUGCUCUGUUUUCAUUUGCAGGUGAGAGAGUGCAGGUCACGGGUUGGAGUUAACGUGUUGGAGCUCAGUAGUUGUUGCAGUGGAGGUCACUUGUUUUUUUUUUUUUUUGUAUCAUGCUUGUAGUACUAGGUUUCACGUGAGUGUACUAUUUUGUAUCUUUGUACACUCAUUUUAGGUCAAUCGGAUAUGGGUGUAUGUAACCACACGGGUUGUAUUUUGUACUCCUCACGGGUGUUUGUACCCGAACUAGUAGCUUCAUGUCUCCAGUUCUAUAUAAACAAUGUGUUCACUCCAUUAUCAUCACCACUCUAUUUCUAUUUAAACUUUAUUACCAUCAUGUCUAGUGCUCUCUAAUAUUGAUUAUCAUCUUACACUUCUAUUAUUAUCAUCACGGGUGUUUGUACCCGAGCCAUCACCACACUUCUAUUUUCAUAUCUCAACCAUCACAACACUUUGCUUAUUCACUUUUGAGACAUCAACACACUUGCUGAAUUCCCAACCAUCGAGAACCUCUACAAGUCAACCAAAUUUCAAGCUUCAAGCUUCAAGCUUCAAGUCACAAGAGAACGAACGACACGGAUACGCUCAAAUAAAUAUUUCUGAGUUCGAAUCAGGAGAGUCAAGCAGAAGUUCAAAGGUGACAAGCAGAGAAAGUAUUCAAGCUGGUGAUAUGUUAGGCAUGCGCAGAGAAGUUCAAGAUCAAGAGAAGCAUGUUCGUUUGAAAGCUGAUUUAAUGGAAAAUAUUUGGCAAAAGUUUGGUGAUGAAGAUGAAUAAGCUUUGUAUAUUUUUCAAUUUCUCAAUUUAUGUAAUCUACUCUUUUAAUGUAUUGAAUAAAUAGUUUUCACAAAUUUAAUAAUAUUUUUAAUAUUUUAUUAAUGUAUUCUGAAUAAUUUGAAUUUAAAAAAAAAAAUUAAAUAUUAUUAUUUUAGUCUUAUGAACUUUUUCUUCAGGUUCACCAAUGCAAAAAAAGACAAAUACAGGUUCAUAACUAUUCAUAGACCCACAAAAAAAUAUUAAAAAAAUCAUGUGAAUCCCAAGGGGAGGUUCACCAAUGCUCAUGCUCUUAGAACCUUUGUUGGUACAUGGUUUCAGAUUGGGAAAGAAGAUGUAGACACUUGUUUCCCAACAAGUAGCCAACCUACUUCCAAAGUCAAGCUAAAUGACUAUAGCAAAGUGUUGAAUGGGAGCCAACCCACAAUUAGGUAAGUUUCACUUAGUUUUAUUUUCAACUAGGGAUGUCCUGCCCUACGGACGGGAUGAAUAUUUGAAAAUAAUUUAAAUUAUUAGAGUAAAUAUUUAAUGUAAAAUUUUAUUAAUUAAAAAUAUAAAUAUUAGUUAAAUUUUGUACAUGGUUUUUUUUUUUUGAAGAUUAAAUAAAGCUAUGUUGAUAAUUAGUUAUGUUUUUUUUAAUGAGGUGGCACUACAUCAUUUCUUGUUGAGUAUUCAUGUUAUUGUACUCAAAGUUAUUAUCAUAUAAUAACUUAUUUGGUGCAUUUUAUAUUUAUUAUAGUCGAUUAU